CCUACGGGAGGCAGCAGUCGAGAAUCAUUCACAAUGGGGGAAACCCUGAUGGUGCGACGCCGCGUGGGGGAAUGAAGGUCUUCGGAUUGUAAACCCCUGUCAUGUGGGAGCAAAUUAAAAAGAUAGUACCACAAGAGGAAGAGACGGCUAACUCUGUGCCAGCAGCCGCGGUAAUACAGAGGUCUCAAGCGUUGUUCGGAAUCACUGGGCGUAAGGCGUGCGUAGGCUGUUUCGUAAGUCGUGUGUGAAAGGCGCGGGCUCAACCCGCGGACGGCACCUGAUACUGCGAGACUAGAGUAAUGGAGGGGGAACCGGAAUUCUCGGUGUAGCAGUGAAAUGCGUAGAUAUCGAGAGGAACACUCGUGGCGAAGGCGGGUUCCUGGACAUUAACUGACGCUGAGGCACGAAGGCCAGGGGAGCGAAAGGGAUUAGAUACCCGGGUAGUC
rnacentral:rRNA from 1 species